UUUCAAUAUAUUUUAUUAUAUAACGAGUCUACAAAGGAGUGGUUCAUUAACAGACAAUCAUAUCUUUGAGCGUCUGGAAUCUACUCUAUUUGGCUCAAUUGAACGCAACGGACGUGAUCGCGAGUCCUUGUUGAACUUCAGUAUAUAUUGACUAUCCCCGUAGGAAGGGAUUGGCAAUAAUUGAAUGUUCGCUUUCUAUUAGGUGUGUAUAUAUAGUCUCAAAAUUGCAUGUAUUUGUAAUGGCGAGUAAUAUGUACUAUCCUAUAGGAAAACUCGGGCGACCGCUGUAAUAUUUCUCUUUAAAACAGAGGAAGAUUGCGGCAAUAACAGGUCUGUGAUGCCCUCAGAUGUCCCGGGCCGCACACGUGCUACAUUGAUUAGCGCAGUGCGCAUACUUUCAAUAUGAUACAUUAGAUUGGAUUGUUCUGUUGAGCUCCAUCUAAUACUAUCCGGCUUGAGAAGGCUGGGUAAUCAAUUGUAAGUGCUGGUUCCUCCUCCCGUUGAGCAUUUUAAUAAUGGCCUCUCUACAUCCCUAGCAAUAUGCCUAGUGCGAUUGUAGUUGAGCCUUGCCAUUUAUGCAAGUGUCAAUUCUCAGUGGGGACAGACAUUUGAUAAUUCUUUGUCUCGUUCUUAACUAGGAAUGCCU
rnacentral:rRNA from 1 species